rnacentral:snoRNA from 1 species
AGGUCCUUUCAGAAAGGGGCUACUGGGCUGUGAACCCAGGAGUUCUUAAUUCUUUCACAUUCUCCCCAGGAUGGCAUAGUCUACUCAAUAGUGCUGUUUUCCUGAGGAGACAUAAGA